AAGAUUGUUUGUUCCACAGGUUGACCUGCCCAUAGGAGAUGCUGAGGAAGCCCUGGGAAGCAGAGAACAGUACAGAAUGGAAGUGUGGAUCUGUCUAGGGAGCCCAGAGUUCUGGGAAUGGCGAUGAGGGGUGGAUGAGAGCACUUCAGAGUGCUUUGAGAGGAGAGUUGGCCCUCACAGCCUGUAUCAUGACUCUGAGUGUUUGAGAUGAUGAGAAGAUAAGUGUCUGGCAACAUAGCAUGUGGGUGACCCUUAAGUGCAGUUGGAUAUGGCUGAGCACAGUAGCCAUGCCUAUGAUCCUGGCUGUACAGGAAGCUGAGGCAGGAGGAGCAGAAGCUCUGAGAAGAAAAAGGGCUGGCUCAGUGUGAGAGCAACCCUGGGCUGGGUCCCCAGUGCUUGGGGGAAAGGGUAGUUGAAUGGACCCCAUCAACCAAGUGGGAAGCUGUUCCCGGGGCUCAGGGUAAGUCCCCUUCAGCAGCCACACUCGGGAGUCUUAAGUCCUAGAUGUUCACAUGCUGGUUGCUUUCUGUCUCUCCAGGCCCAUUGCUCCUUCUCCUUUGCACCCCAGAGUUUGUCUUAGGGAUGACUCCACUGGUUUUUCUUCUCAUGUUUGAACAGUGUAAGGUACCAGGAGCAGAUCGGGAUGGAGGGCAGGGACCCUCUGUGCCCUCCUCACUCCCUGCUGGACACUGGCUUAGCUUUCCAGUUCACAGCCUUUCUGGCUGUGGCCCCUCUUUGGUUAAAGAUUUCCUAAGCUCUCCUUCUCCUUGCCCUCAGAUCUAGGGUGAAUACAGCUCUGGGUGCCACCAUUGGUUUGGUUUCAUUUUGGAGAUGUCUGUAGAUUGCCCCUUUAUUAACAUCCUUGAGUUGCUAUUGAGUGUGUGGGGCAUACCCGAGCACACUACUUGGGGAGCUCCACCACCGAGCUAUAUUGCCAGCCUUUCUUAUAUUUUUUUUCUUUUUAAUUGUGAAACAGGUCUUGCUAAACUGCCUGGGAUGGCCUUAUGAUCCUCCUGCCUCAGCCUCGCAGAUAGAAGGAUAAUGGGCCUGUACCACCAUAUCCAGCCUUAAGAAAGAAGCCUGUCCUCUCUGAGAGUAAGGAGUUGCUUAGCUAACGGUCCCAUGGAGCUGACUGGGCUAACUAGAUUGCAGCUGAGUUGCCUCACCAGCCCUUGGGUGGCGAUGAAGCUCCCUUCUCCUGGACCCGCAUGUCAUCUCUUCUGAAACAGACGUUGAUGCAGGCCUCCUCUUUGGACAGUGCCAGUAAGCACAGGGCAAUCUGUAUUCAUGAACUUUUGUAUCACUCUGUUCUGUCUCUAAGGGAUUAAAUAAAUGCCUUGAUAUUUGGUAUAAGUAGAACACA